GGCUGGUCCAAUGGUAGUGGGUUAUCAGAACUUUUUUUUUUUUUUUUAAUAGAAAUGGUGUCUCACUAUGUUGCCCAAGCUGGUCUUCAAUGCCUGGGCUCAAGCAAUCCUCCAAAAGUGUUGGGAUUACAGGCGUGAGCCACCGCACCUGGCCUUGGUUAUCAGAACUUAUUAGUGUCAGUAAAGUUGGCAUGCAACUCCCCACCCCCACUGCUAAAUUUGACUAGCUUAUA
rnacentral:Y_RNA from 2 species